GCACCGGAAGUGGGCAGCGCCGCAGACGCGACCGCCGCGAGGCGCGCACCCUUCAACCGUCUCUUCAUCGCGAGACUUGAGAUGGUGUCGGGGGCGCGCCUGCCGGGAUCUCGCGAGAGUUGGUGGAGGAGGGAUGUGGGGGGGUUUCGCGGCCGGUAAGGCGGCGCCGUUUUGGGUCAGCGGGGCGUGAGGGAAACCAGCGCCUGACAUCGGCCCCAGCCACAGCCCGGCCUUCCCCCAGCACCAGUGUCACCUCCUACCGUCCCGUUGUGGGUCUGUGGAAACGUGAUUUGGUUCAAGUAGAACAUAAAUCACACCGAGCCACCAGGGGGAAAUGAUAGGGAAAAAAAGACCAGCCGCUGUCAGGGUGAUUUCCUCAGGGGAGAAUACAUACUACGCUGGCUGUAGCCUUUGCAUUACUGCUUGCUUAAAUUAGUUCAGUUACUCUACAUCCCAGCAGCAGCUUAGUGGAAGCAAUAGUCAGAUUAAAUCAGUGUAAAAAAAACUGAUCAUAAGAGUGCAUUCAACGAUCAAGAGUGAAUUAUUUGACAUCAUAACUAAUGUGACCAGUUGAAAAUUCAAAAACACCCACAAUUAAGUUAGAUCAGCCCUUUGAUCUGUAAAACUUAAAUAUGUGCAUAAACUUCCCAAAUUCUUUGUUUGGUAGCUUUCCAUAAAUAAGGGGACCAAAAUAAAAGCUAUUAGAGCAGCAUUAGAUGGUUUGAUGAAGCAAAGCUAGAGACCAGACACAAGGAAAGUUUGGCAAACAGCUAUUGAAAUACUCUCUGUGUCCUAAACAUUCACUGGAAUGAUACACUUCACAAUCACCAAAAAUAAAAUUGGAAUCUAGCUUAGUCCAAUCUAGUUAAACCAGUGCAGAACCAUCACUCAGAGGCCUUAAAUUGUUCUAACCCUUUCACAAGCUUAAUGGGAAAGAUGAGCACCCAGCUGAAUUGGCCGUAAAGUAUUUCCCUGUUCCACAGUUCAGUAACAGCCUCUCCACUGCAAAUUGCUCAUGCUUUGGUUUUCAGAUGGGAAAAAAAAUGUAACUGGGAGAUGAAGAAAUAAAAUUCCCAUAUAGUUCAGAGCCAAGAAGAUGUCCUGAAGAUAGCUGUACCUUGGAGAUCAAUAAGCCAAAGCCAUUUCACACUCUGCAGCGGACUAUGAACCCUACGACACAAUUUCAUGAGCCCGUCGUAAAGCCUGCUGGGACAUUCUGAAGCAGACAAAGGUUUCAAAGUCAGCCUCAGCACUCGGAUUUCCCAGCUUGUUUGCUGGCAUCAUUCUGGGAAUACAAGCUUGAAUAUUCAAGAUACUGAUGAACAUUCCACUUUUGCUGAUACUUUUUCUCUCCCAAAGGUCACUUGCCCAUUAGGAAUGUCAAGAAUUCAAUAAGCAAGGCAGACUCACUACAGCAUUAUUAUGAGGCUCAAAAUGCCCUAUCUUAACAGCUAAGCUGCUCUUCAGAAAACUCAAGAAAUCUGCUUCUAUUUUGUCUUCAAGUAUCACCAGCUGGCCUUCCUUUUUCUGCAGCACAGCAGCUCAGUUAAUAUCUGGCCACUGUGACCUGUGCUGGGAUUAGUAAAACAUUUUUCUGAGACAAUUUAUAAAGGUGCUGUCAACAAACUGCUGCCUCUCCUAAAGACUAAUUAAAGCCAAGCCAAUACAGUCCAGUACAGGCUGUAACAGUGUUCAGUCUCCUCGCACCCUCAGCCAGUUCCUCUUAUUAGUGAUGGGAAAAAUUCAGCACCCGAUGUUUGGUGACCUUCUGCGACUACUUGACAAUUUCAGUUUAUGACAGCAUGAAGAAAAGUUUUUGCAAAUCAGAUUAAUCUAAACUCAUGCCCCAGUUACUCUUUUUCCUCAGACAGUGUUGUUGCAAGUCUAGACAGAGAGACAGUGCUGUUUACUGGAAGCAACAGUCUCCUAUUUUUACUGUGUUCCCUUUCUACCCACAUAACAUCUAGUCUGGGAAAAACUAAGUGAAUGUGUUGUAUAUAUACAAAAUAUGUAUCAUAAGGGAUACAUGGUGAGUGCACACGCUUCCCACUCCCACAGUUUCUCAACUCAUAUUUAUUCAUUCUUUCAUGUUGUGUUUGACAAGAGGUUUUUCUUAUUCUCUCACCUCCUUUUCUCACUUAGGCUCAAAGAGCAUAGUAUAAGCUACUCCUGAAGCUGAACUCUGAGUCACCCCAGGGAGUGAAGAGACCAGAAUCUUGAGCAAUACUGUUUGCUUACAGAGAACCUUGGUUUUCAGAAGUACCAGCUGAUCUGGGGACAAUUCAAACUUUUCCAGUGAAAACUUUCCUGGUGGAUACCCGAGUCAGGCAUGUUUAAGGCCUCAAACCAAGAUAUUUCCAAAGGUGCUGCUGAAGAGGCAAGAGUCUCAAAGAUUCAGCACUUGAGGAAGUAACCACUGGCAAGAGUAGUUUCUAAAGUAAUUUUGUAAUCUCAUCUCAAUUGAUGCACAUGUGAUAGAAUAUUUCAUUUUUUGAUCAUUGUGUCUGUGACCUGGAAAGUCAUGUUUCCCACAGCAAGAAUGCAAGCAGUUACAGGCAUCACCUCCUGCUGCAAACAAACGCAAGGUUUCUUCUGUGUUGGAUUUCAGGCAAUUACUGAACCAUUUCUCAUUACCCCACUGUCACUGUUGCUAAAGCUAGAGAGAAGAUGAAACAAACAUCUUGCAUUUAUACUGUACCACCAUUUAAAGAAUAUGCAUGUCUUCUUCUGUC